rnacentral:rRNA from 1 species
CCUACGGGAGGCAGCAGUGGGGAAUAUUGGGCAAUGGGCGCAAGCCUGACCCAGCAACGCCGCGUGAAGGCAGAAGGCUUUCGGGUUGUAAACUUCUUUUCUGAGGGACGACGCAAGUGACGGUACCUCAGGAAUAAGCCACGGCUAACUACGUGCCAGCCGCCGCGGUAAUACGUAGGUGGCAAGCGUUAUCCGGAUUUAUUGGGGGUAAAGGGCGUGUAGGCGGGAAAGCAAGUCAGAUGUGAAAACUCAGGGCUCAACCCUGAGCCUGCAUUUGAAACUGGUUUUCUUGAGUGCUGGAGAGGCAAUCGGAAUUCCGGGUGUAGCGGUGAAAUGCGUAGAUAUACGGAGGAACACCAGUGGCGAAGGCGGAUUGCUGGACAGUAACUGACGCUGAGGCGCGAAAGCGUGGGGAGCAAACAGGAUUAGAUACCCCAGUAGUC